GACCUAGUGGCGAAGGCAUCGCACCUGCUCAUAAUUCAAUGAUACCCGGUGUCGCGUACACAGCAGGAAUUCCUGGUUCGAAUCCAGGCUAGGUCU